rnacentral:lncRNA from 1 species
AUUUAUACUCUGAAGACUAAAAUAUAUUGCUGAAAGAAAUUAAAGAUGAGUUACUUAAAAUGGGAAGAUACGUGAUGUUCAUGGAUCAGAAGAUUUAACAAAUUGUUAAGAUGGCAAUACUCCUCAAAUUGAUCUACAGAUUCAGCACAACCCUUAUCAAAAUCCCACUUGGUUUUCCUGCAGAAGUUGACAAGCUGGUCCUAAAUUCAUUCAAGGGACCCAGAAGAGUCAAAACAGUCUUGAAAAAGAAGAACAAAGUUGAAGGACUCGAACAUACUCUUUUAAAAACUUACUACAAAACUACAGUAAUCAAGACAGCUUGGUAUUGGCAUAAAGAUAAACAUAUAGGCCACUCCACACAGAAAAGCUCCACUGAUGUAGAGAAGACCUCAUUACAGACAAACAAGAUGAUGAGAAUUAAGCAUCCCUAUGGACAAAGCCAAUUAGAAAAGACGAUGGUAACCGAAGCUGUAUAGUAACGUAAACAGUCUGGGAGAGCAACUUCUCAUUUUGGCGUAAUUGAGAGAGGAAAAUGACCCAACUCUAUUUGCUAAAGCAUUUUGGGAGAUUUCAUUAUGGAAUUCAGAAUUAUGAUAUGUCAUCCAUCCUCCAAAGCCCUGGGAAAUAGUGUAAGUAAAAGAUGAGUGCUGUGGCCUUAAAAAAAAGUAAUAAAUUGUAGAAUAUAUUGCUUUGGUUAUGACCAGGCCCCUAAGCUCACCUCCUUUAUCUAUAGUAUAAAUAUAUGCAAAUCUUGACC